rnacentral:rRNA from 2 species
UGCAACUCGACUCCAUGAAGUCGGAAUCGCUAGUAAUCGUGGAUCAGAAUGCCACGGUGAAUACGUUCCCGGGCCUUGUACACACCGCCCGUCACACCAUGGGAGUGGGUUGCAAAAGAAGUAGGUAGCUUAACCUUCGGGAGGGCGCUUACCACUUUGUGAUUCAUGACUGGGGUGAAGUCGUAACAAGGUAACCGUAGGGGAACCUGCGGUUGGAUCACCUCCUUACCUGAAAGAA